rnacentral:rRNA from 1 species
CAGUCGCCGCGGGAAAACGGAGGGGGGCUAGCGUUGUUCGGAAUUAAUGGGCGUAAAGCGCACGUAGGCGGCUUGGUAAGUUAGAGGUGAAAGCCCGGAGCUCAACUCCGGAAUUGCCUUUAAGACUGCCGGGCUAGUAGGUGAGAGAGGUAAGUGGAAUUCCGAGUGUAGAGGUGAAAUUCGUAGAUAUUGGGAAGAACACCGGUGGCGAAGGCGGCAACCUGGUCCAUGACUGACGCUGAGGCGCGAAAGCGUGGGGAGCAAACAGGAUUAGAUACCCCGGUAGUCCCUGUCUCUUAUU